GACGAGCCACCCAAACGUUAUUCGGAAUUAUUGGGCGUAAAGAGCUCGUAGGCGGCUUGUCGCGUCGGGUGUGAAAGCUUGGGGCUUAACCCCAAGUCUGCAUCCGAUACGGGCAGGCUAGAGGCAGGUAGGGGAGAACGGAAUUCCUGGUGUAGCGGUGGAAUGCGCAGAUAUCAGGAGGAACACCAACGGCGAAGGCAGCUCGCUAGGACGGUACUGACGCUGAGACGCGAAAGCGUGGGGAGCAAACAGG
rnacentral:rRNA from 1 species